CCCACCAUGGUUCAGGUGUAGUGAACAGGUAGGUGACCCACCAUGGUUCAGGUGUAGUGAACAGGUAGGUGACCCACCAUGGUCCAGGUGUAGUGAACAGGUAGGUGACCCACCAUGGUUCAGGUGUAGUGAACAGGUAGGUGACCCACCGUGGUUCAGGUGUAGUGAACAGGUAGGUGACCCACCAUGGUUCAGGUGUAGUGAACAGGUAGGUGACCCACCGUGGUUCAGG